ACAACGGCGGCGAUAACACCGUCGUUUAUAACGAUGUGCGCAGCGGUGCAGCAAACGAUUAUCUCGUUGGAAUUGUCCGUUCGGAAGAUCACGGCAGUAAGCAACAGCAGCAUUGUAAACGAAGGAAUGGUUUGUUUGUUUGGUUUUUUUUUUUUUUUUUAAUUAGCAGUCGCAACAAUUAUAUUAUGUUCGCAGAACAAGUUUUGAACGAGUGAAUCGGACUACCGUUACACCGCACUAUUCGGGAUCACGGAACAAAUAGUGUAAUUUAUUUGCUAUAGUGCCAUACUCGUGGUUCGAGUAGAAUAGCUGAUUGAUGGGUACCUAUAGUCGCGGACCGGUAAAAAAAUGGCAAGGGACGCUGUACAAAAUUGCAGGACGAAUAGUUAUUGAGACAAAUGUAAUGAUAAUAACAAUAAAACGCAUUUUAAAAAUCCCACAUACGAGUAAACUCCGUACCACGGG